rnacentral:rRNA from 1 species
GCCGUUCUCAGUUCGGAUCGGAGUCUGCAACCCGACUCCGUGAAGCUGGAUUCGCUAGUAAUCGCGCAUCGGCCAUGGCGCGGUGAAUACGUUCCCGGGCCUUGUACACACCGCCCGUCAAGCCAUGGAAGCCGGGGGUGCCUGAAGUGCGCUGCCGCAAGGAGCGCCCUAGGGUAAAACCGGUGACUGGGGCUAAGUCGUAACAAGGUAUC